AUGGAGUACCCAGACAGCCUCUGCCGUGUGGAGCUGGAUAGAGCUGCCGGUGUUUAUUUGGGUGGUGAGCUGCUAUUUAAAAUCAGGCUUUGUUUCUGAAAAUGAGACAGCUGGGGCUACAUUUGGUGGAUAAAGACAUUUUGUUGAACUUUCAAAAUGGGGUAUUAUUUUCCAUUUACACUUAUUUCACGGAGAAUUGUAAGAAGAUGAGAUUGUAGACGUGUCUGUGAUAUGCAGUAACGAGUGAUGGAUCUUUGAAGGUAAAAAUAUCUCUAGGAUAUUUCUUUUUCUUUUUCUUUUUUUUCUCUCUUGUCUCUCUCCUCCAGGCCUCAGGUUGGGUGGGUUUAGGUUUUGUUCUGUUUUGUUUUUUAAUAUCAAAAUGGAGAGUGUCUCUAGUGGGAGUAUAGACUGUUCUCUGCUCAAUGUUUGUCUUAAUAAAGGUUAAAAGAAAUGAAAUAAUAUUAAAAAGGCUCUCCAGAGACAGGAGCGCCAGAUGCUUCCAGCUCCCUGGACUGUUGUGGAAGAAGGCAGGAUAGCAAGACUGGGGAACCCACAGGGCAAACGGAGAGGCUGGUCCCUCCAGACCGACCAGCCCAAGGCUGAAAAGCUCAGGGAACAAAGGAACAAGGGAAGGCAGAGAGGGCUGGAGAAGAAGACAACGGAAAGGAGAGGAAUUCAGAUGCCAAGAAGAUACUUCUCUCUCCCUCCACAUUCAAGGCCCUCUCUUUCUCUGGGGACUGGCAUCGGGAAGGAGUCUACGGCAGACCUUCAAAUCCCAGGUGCUAUCCAACUGAGUGCUCCUGAGGCUUCAAAGAGUCUCUUCUUACUGUGUCUUGAGCCAGGAGACAGGCGAUUGACCCAUGUGUCACCAGUGAUUUCCAUCCUCGCCUCCCAAAGAACGAGACCGGCUGUGGACGUUUCCCAGCCACUUGUGUCCGGGCCCAAAGCUGCUCCCAUUUGCGCAGUCUGUCCUCUCCUUCCGCAGAUUGACGGAAUGUGAGCUGGAGUCCUUUGAGGUCAGAGACCACAUGACUCACUUCUAAUUCCCCCACAGCACCAAGCAAGCACAGAUCAGAACCUCUAAAGUGUGAUACGCAUAUAUUAAGAGUAAGUGAAAUAAUUGUACAUGGCAUAUGUGUCAACAUUUUAAAGUUAACAUUUAGGUAUAUUAAUGUAUAUUAUAUAAAUAUAACUAAUGUAAGACACUUAAUUUCAUAGAUAUUAUCACUCAAGAUAAGUUUAAGGUAGACCGGAAGUUUAAAAAUGAGUCACAUUCAGGUACAUUAUUAAAUAAACAAUGGUACAGGGAGUAUCCAAAUGAGUCAAGUUUGGGGAAUGCUGUCUCAGCUGACUUGCUAAUUGAUUGGUUGGCUGUUUGGUCAUUUGGUCGGUCAGUUAUUGGUUUCAGAUCGACAGGUAUUUUUCCCAACAGUUUAUUAUGAAAGUUUUAAAACAUAGCAAAUAGUUGAAAGAACUGUAUAGUGAACACCCAUAUACUCACCUCCUAGAUUCGACAAUUAUCAUUUUCUUUCUUUAUCACAUAGCUGUCCAUCGACCAUCUAGCCAUCUCUCAUAUCCCCUAUCAAUCUAUCUUAUGUUUUCUGAUGCUUUUCAAAGUAAAUUGCAGACAUCAGUGUAGUUUACCCUGAAACACUUCAGCAUGCUAGUUAGUAGUCUUCAAUAUUUCUUCACGGUUCUUUUUGUUGAAGAAAAAUUUGUAUACCAUGAAAUGCACAAAUCUUAAGCGUAUCAGCCGGGUGUGGUGGCUCACGCCUGUAAUCCAACACUUUGGUAGAUCACUUGUCGGGAGUUUGAGACAAGCCUGGCCAACAUGGCAAAACCCCAUCUAUCUCUAUCAAAAUACAAAAAUUAGCUGGGCGUGGUGGUGCACACCUGUAGUCUCAGCUACUCAAGAGGCUGAAGUGAAAGAAUCAUUUGAACUCAGGAGGUGGAGACUGUAACGAGUCAAGAUCACUCAACCGCACUUCAGCCUGGGUAACAAGGUGAGACCCUGUCUCAGAAAGAAGAAAAAAAUCUUACGUGUGUCAUUCAAUGAAAUUUGAUAAAUGCAUACACUUGUGUAACCCAAAAUCCUAUCAAGGUGUAGACUAUGACCAUCACCCCAGAAGUUUUCCUCAUGAUCCUCCCAGUUAAGUCCCACUCCUGUCCUCCAGAAGACACCAUUGUUGUAAUUUUUUUCAUUUUAUAUUAGUUUUGCCUAUUAUAGGAGUUCAUAUAAAUAAAAUAAUGCAGUAUGUACUCUUGGUGCCACUGUUCCUUCACAACGUAAGUCGCAACGUUUUUGAGAUUCAUCUGCGUUGAGGCGUGUUUGCUUCCUAUUAUUGCUGAAUGGUAUCCCUUUGUUUGUAUCCAUUCUCCUGUUGAUGAACACCUGGACUGUUUCCAGGUUGGAGCUUUAAUCAAUCAAGUUGCUGUGAAUCUUCUACAGGUCACUUUGCGGAUACCUGCCUUUACUUUUCUUGGAUAAAUAAGUAGGAAUUGUAUUGCUGGAUCAUAACAUAGGUGUAUGUUUCGUUUUAGAAAAAACUACCAGACUGGUUUCAAAAGUGUGCGCUGCCACCCACAAUGUAUGAGAGUUACAGUUCAUCCUUGUCUUUGCCAACAUUUGAUGUUGGCUGUCAUUUACAUUUUAGCCAUUCUCGUGGAUGUAUAGUGGUAUCUUACUGUUGAGUAUAUAUUUUCAUGUACUCAUUGGCCAUUUGUAAACUUUCUUUAGUGAAGUAUCUG
ensembl:lincRNA